UAACUCUAGAAGGUAUUUAUAUCCCUGAUAAUGCAAAAAUUUCCUUUCUAGAUCCUAAAACUCAAGAAAAAAUACUAAAUGUCUCAACUUAAAUUCCUCCGCUUACUCUUCCAUACUUGUUAACAUCCGAAUAUACAAUUGAAAUCAUUACACAAAAUUCUUCAUUUUUGUUCGGUCCUACUUCUCAGGAAACUAAUAUAAUACCCAGCUACUUUUCUGUAGAAGAUUUAACUCUUAUUCAAUACUUCCUUAAACCUUAUUAUAAUCCUACAUAUCAAAUCUACUUUUCAUUGGGUUCCACCUUGUUUCUUAGCUUCAUUGUUCUCUUUUUCUUUUAUACAAACUUUUUGUCCCAAAAUCUAAUCUCAAAAAACAAUCUAAAUAUCUUGCAUCCUUUCAUAAAUACAAACCUACAACUAUCAUUAAGAUUAAUAAAUAAUGUUGCAGGUUUCGUGCAGUUCCCUGCUCCUUCAAACCUCUUCACUCUUCUGCGAUAGGUAUUUAACUCUUCUUCUGAUGCCUUGACUUUAGCCGCUCACUCCUUCUCACAUUCCCAUCCUUCUAACCUUCAAAAGAAAUCCAGAACCUUCCCAGCACAUUUAAUCUCCACCUCUUACCCUUGAGACCUCCGUCAUUACUCCUAAGCAAUCAAAACCUAACACUCCCUGUCCUAAACCUCCUAAGUCUACACCUUUUUUUCAAAUCUGUUGAUUCCAUUCCAGUCCUCUAUCAACCUGUCCUAGAGGCGUCCGUGUCACAACAUAUGAUGAAUGCUAUCAUUGCUUCCCACCAAGUGUUACCACAGGUUAUUUCUUUAACUGGUUGUAAAUCUUUCAUUUUCUCACAAAAAAACUGAAAAUCAUUUGUUUUUACAGCAGAAAUAUAUUAUGCAUGUAUAUUUCAACUUCUCCUUUUCAACUAUUUCCUUUGAAUUUAAAUUUAGCAAAUAUUUUCUUAAUCCGUGGCAGAUUUGUUCAAAUGAAAAUUCAAUAUCCAAAAAA